rnacentral:rRNA from 1 species
UAAAACGUAGGUGGCGAGCGUUAUCCGGAUUUACUGGGCGUAAAGCGUGUGCAGGCGGGGUGAUAAGUGGUGUAUGAAAUCUCUGGGCUUAACUCGGAGGGGUUAUGCCAGACUGUCACUCUAGAGUGCGAGAGAGGAGCGUGGAAUUCCGGGUGUAGUGGUGAAAUGCGUAGAGAUCCGGAGGAACCCCAGAGGCGAAGGCGGCGCUCUGGCUCGCAACUGACGCUCAGACACGACAGCAUGGGGAGCGAACGGGAUUAGAAACCCCGGUAGUCCAUGCCGUAAACGAUGUCAACUAGGCGCUGAGGGUAUCAACCCCCGCGGUGCCGAAGCCAACGCGAUAAGUUGACCGCCUGGGGAGUACGGCCGCAAGGCU